CGUAGUGGCGCACGGGUGCGUAACGCGUGGGAAUCUGCCCUUGGGUUCGGAAUAACAGCGGGAAACUGCUGCUAAUACCGGAUAAUGACGUAAGUCCAAAGAUUUAUCGCCCAAGGAUGAGCCCGCGUAGGAUUAGCUAGUUGGUGGGGUAAAGGCCCACCAAGGCGACGAUCCUUAGCUGGUCUGAGAGGAUGAUCAGCCACACUGGGACUGAGACACGGCCCAG
rnacentral:rRNA from 1 species